rnacentral:ncRNA from 1 species
UUAAUUUGACUCAACACAGGGAAACUUACCUGGUCUAGACAUAAUAAGGAUUGACAGACUGGAAGUUGUUUGUUGAUUCUAUGGGUGGUGGUGCAUGGUCGUUCUUAGUUGGUGGAGCAAUUUAUCUAGUUAAUUUCACUAACAAAUAAGACCUCAGCCUACCAACUAUCUAUGUAGAGGUAUCCAUUCGAGGCCAGCUUCUUAGAGAGAUACUAUCACGACCCAAAUGAAGACCUUGUCAUGACGGGUAUCUCUAGCUCACUAUGGACCAGAGAC